rnacentral:rRNA from 1 species
GAUGAACGCUGGCGGCGUGCUUAACACAUGCAAGUCGAACGAAGCACUUUAUUUGAUUUCCUUCGGGACUGAUUAUUUUGUGACUGAGUGGCGGACGGGUGAGUAACGCGUGGGUAACCUGCCUUGUACAGGGGGAUAACAGUUGGAAACGGCUGCUAAUACCGCAUAAGCGCACGGCAUCGCAUGAUGCAGUGUGAAAAACACCGGUGGUAUAAGAUGGACCCGCGUUGGAUUAGCUAGUUGGUGAGGUAACGGCCCACCAAGGCGACGAUCCAUAGCCGAGCUGAGAGGGUGACCGGCCACAUUGGGACUGAGACACGGCCCAAACUCCUACGGGAGGCAGCAGUGGGGAAUAUUGCACAAUGGGCGAAAGCCUGAUGCAGCGACGCCGCGUGAGCGAAGAAGUAUUUCGGUAUGUAAAGCUCUAUCAGCAGGGAAGAUAAUGACGGUACCUGACGAAGAAGCACCGGCUAAAUACGUG